rnacentral:lncRNA from 1 species
AGGAGCAGCACCAGGUGGAAGAAGAAGGUGGAGCUGGAGGCUCGGAAACGCCGCGGGGACGCCCUGGAGUUCCUCAGGAGGGUGUACUGGAGCACCGUCUGACCCAGGGAGAAGGAGAACAUGCCCAAGCUGGCCAGCUUCAGCACCACGCACCUGCGGACGAGGCGUGCGUCAUGCGGGGAUGCAUCAGAGGGUACGGGCCAGAUCUAUCCAGGCUGUUGCCUGAGACCCUGAAUCCUGGGCACUGCCCCUAUUUCAAAGCUGAGCCUCCGUCCAGCUUGCUUUAUCUCUCGCCAGUGUUUCUCAAAACACGUUCCUCAAACCUGACUCUACAGAGUCGCAGGGAAUGGGUCCUGUUUCUAAACCAGUUUGGGAAAUACUGCACCACCCAGCUAUAUAUACUCCUUGCUGCCAGUUUUAUAAUUUAUUCCGAUGCGUCGCACAAGAGAAACUCGGCACCUUCCCGAGUCCUCAGA